rnacentral:rRNA from 1 species
UUGACGGGGCCGCACAAGCGGUGGAGCAUGUGGUUAAUUCGACGCAACGCGAAGAACCUUACCAGGGCUUGACAUCCCCUGACCGCGUAUGAAAGUACGUUUUCACCCUCGGGUGACAGGGAGACAGGUGGUGCAUGGUUGUCGUCAGCUCGUGUCGUGAGAUGUUGGGUUAAGUCCCGCAACGAGCGCAACCCCUACGUUUAGUUGCUAACGCGUGAAGGCGAGCACUCUAGACGAACUGCCGUUGACAAAACGGAGGAAGGUGGGGAUGACGUCAAAUCAUCAUGCCCCUUAUGUUCUGGGCUACACACGUGCUACAAUGGCCGGUACAGAGUGACGCGAAGCCGCGAGGUGGAGCAAAUCGCAGAAAAUCGCUCUCAGUUCGGAUUGGAGUCUGAAACCCGACUCCAUGAAGGUGGAAUCGCUAGUAAUCGCGCAUCAGCAUGGCGCGGUGAAUACGUUCCCGGGCCUU